rnacentral:lncRNA from 1 species
UUCUUGCCAAAAUGAACCUCAGAGACAUACAUCUAAGGACCUUGCAUGCACCAAAGAGGGCCUAAGAGGACAGCAGCUGUCCCUACUUGCUGCACUGUGGGGAGGCGCCUGUGCUCACUGCUCUGCUGUUGAAGAGCUCAGUGAAGCAUAUAAUGUGACUGUGGAUAUCCAACUGCUUUAUCUGACAUCUUGGAAGGAAAGCAGGAGAGAGACUUGGGCCCUGACCUUCCUUUGUCACCAUCAGCUUGUGACAUCUUCUCAGGCCAGCCGUAGCCAACUCUGUGACUGUUUCCACAGGUGUCGAUGUUGGCAUCAUGUCUAACUUCUGCUGCUUCUCAAGGUCGCCAAGAUCAUCUCAUUAGUGAACAGAUGUAAAGUAUUUGGAAAAAGGCAUCAUGCAAAAAUAAAGUUCAUUGUUAUUCAUCCUUUUCCUUCCCAAAUAAACUAGACUUCUUUAAAACAUUAAAGCAAAGUGAGGCCAGGCUGUUUACUUGUUUACCCUAACAUGAAGGGCCACUGCAAAGCCUGAGGCUCAAAGGUAAGAUUCACAGCCAGGUGCAGUGCCUCAUGCCUGCAAUCCCAGCACUUCGGGAGGCCAAGGCAGGAGGAUUACUUUGAGGCCAGGAGUUCGAGACCAGCCUGGGCAACAUAGUGAGACCCUGUCUCUACAAAAAUAAAAAAAAAUAGCCAGGCAUGGUGGUGAGUCCCUGUAGUUUCCAGCUACUCAGGAGG